rnacentral:lncRNA from 1 species
AUGCCAGCAAAUUUGGAAAACUCAGCAAUGGUCACAGGACUGGAAAAGGUCAGUUUUCAUACAAUCCCAAAGAAAGGCAAUGUCAAAGAAUGCUCAAACUAUCACACAAUUGCACUCAUCUCACAUGCUGGUAAAGUAAUGCUCAGAAUUCUCCAAGCCAUUCUUCAGCAAUACGUGAACCAUGAACUUCCAGAUGUUCAAGCUGGUUUUAGGAAAGGCAGAGGAACCAGAGAUCAAAUUGCCAAUAUCUGCUGGAUCAUUGAAAAAGCAAGAGAGUUCCAGAAAAACAUCUAUUUCUGCUUUAUUGACUAUGCCAAAGCCUUUGACUGUGUGGAUCACAAUAAACUGUGGACAAUUCUGAGAGAGAUGGGAAUACCAGACCACCUAAGCUGCCUCUUGAGGAAUCUGUAUGCAUGUCAGGAAGCAACAGUUAGAACUGGACAUGUAACAACAGACUGGUUCCAAAUAGGAAAAGCAGUACGUCAAGGCUGUAUAUUGUCACCCUGCUUGUUUAACUUAUAUACAGAGUACAUCAUGAGAAGUAUGGGGCUGGAAGAAGCACAAGCUGGAAUCAAGAUCUUCGGGAGAAAUAUCAAUAACCUCAGAUAUGCAGAUGACACCACCCUUAUGGCAGAAAGUGAAGAGGAACUCAAAAGCCUCCUGUUGAAAGUGAAAGAGGAGAGUGAAAAAUUUGGCUUAAAGCUCAACAUUCAGAAAACUAAGAUCAUGACAUCUGGUCCCAUCACUUCAUGGGAAAUAGAUGGGGAAACAGUGGAAACAGUGUCACACUUUAUUUUCGGGGGCUCCAAAAUCACUGCAGAUGGUGACUGCUGCCAUGAAAUUAAAAGACACUUACUCCUUGGAAGAAAAGUUAUGACCAAUCUAGAUAGCAUAUUCAAAAGCAGAGACAUUACUUUGCCAACCAGGUCCCAUCUAGUCAAGACUAUGGUUUUUCCAGUGGUCAUGUAUGGAUGUGAGAGUUGGACUGUGAAGAAGGCUGAGUAA